ACUCGAUUACAGGACGGCCGUGUUUGCUCUGUAAGCUGUGUUGUAAGUGUUCGUGAAACUUAGCACGACUUAAAUUGCGUACAUUCGAAACUUUCGCGACCCCUUCGCCGCCCGUGUGGUCGUGGCUUAAUUGCAACGAACUCAAUUGUUAUCAUUUGUUAUCGAGUGACUAACAGUGAAUCCCGCGACUAUUAUACACACUAUACGCGGAUCGCUCGAUAGCAGCGAGACGUAUCGAUUUUCGUUUCUUCACGCCGACAUACGACACGCUGGCGAAACACGGGGUACACGUCGGCGGGAGUUUUAAUAAUGCCGGGGGAGCCGUGCCCGCCGUUCGAGGGAUCGAUUACGCGCUCGGCGUUACCGCGAUCCAGAAUACUCCAUAAGCUCGCAAAUGCGUGACGAAUUCGUGCAUGGGCCCAUGCUUGCACCUUGCGCCGCGCAACUUGCAGCCGACUGACCGCCAGGUAAGCAGGCAUGCUCGCCGGUGCUGGCGCUUUCAAGCCGGCCACCUGUAUCCUAGCAACUGGAAAUCAAUUUCUAAUGGCAACACGCGCGGCCGCUGCUUUUCUUUAAAGCGUAAAAGAACGGGAGCGAUCGGCCACGAUACUUGGACACCGCGGCCACGGCGUCGAAAAUGGCCGGCUACUCGGUUCAGAGUUUUUCAUUUUUUCCCGCAUUUCUUCACUGUGAUAAAAAUAAAAGACGGCGAUGAAUAGCUGUAUUUCAUGUUGCAAUUAAGUUAUUAACGUAUUUGUAUAAUUAAUAUUUAGCAGAUUACACUGGUUCCUACGUAAUACUUUAUAGAUAUUUAUCUCCUAACGUAAUUAUAAGUUUGCGCGGGUAUGGCAAGCUUAUAAUUAUAUAUUCUAUGUUAUUAUUCCAGAAAACAUUAUGGCGUCUUAAAGACGACUAAAAGGCUUAAAAUGUCUUAAAUUAAGACAUUGUUUUGUCUUUAAGACGUCUUUAUGUAAUUAAGACAUCGUUCGAAAGUUUUAGAUAUUUUUCUUAUAAGCUUCAUAUUCUACAAAAACUGAUAGUUAAUAUUUCAUAGUAUAAUUUCAUUGCCGAUAAGAAUGUAGCACCGUUUUAUUUCAGCAAUAAUUCUGUAAUGUUCUAUUUUAAUUAAAAUUCUUUUUAAUUAUAA